CUUNUUGAUAAUAAUUUAAGUCAAUCUCUGCCCAAUGAUNUAAUUAAAUGGCUGCAGUAUNACUGACUGUNCAAAGGNNGCAUAAUCAAUUGAUUUUUAAAUGGAAUCUGGAAUGAAAGGAUUAAUGAAAUAUAUUCUGUCUCAUAUAUAUAAUGUGAAUUUAAAAUUUUAAUAAAAAUGUUAAAAUUUUUUUUUUGGACGAUAAGACCCUAUAGAAUUUUAUAUAAAAUAAAUUUUAUAUUAAUAUAAAAUUUAUUUUAUAUUUAGUUGGGAGAAUUAUUAAAUUAAAAAAAUUUUAAUUUUUAUUAAACUUUAAUUANAGAAAAUUUAUUGACUUAAAAUUUUUAAUUAUUAGAGUAAAUNACCUUAGGGAUCACAGCGUAAUAUUUUUUUAUAGAUCUUAUAGAAAAAAAUGAUUGNNACCUCGAUGUUGAAUUAAGAUAAAUUUUAAAUGUAGAAGUUUAAUAAUUAUAGUCUGUUCGACUUUAAUAUCNUACAUGAUUUGAGUUCAACUCGACGUAAGU
rnacentral:rRNA from 1 species